rnacentral:rRNA from 1 species
GAUGAACGCUGGCGGCAUGCCUAAUACAUGCAAGUCGAGCGGACGGAGGAGGAUCUCGCCUCUAUGCCGCUGGCGGCGGACGGGUGAUUAAAACGUGGAUAACCUUGCUUUAGGAAUGGGAUACAUUCGGGAAACCGGAGACAGUACCCGUGGUUAUGUGGAACCGCAUGGAUCUAUAGUCCAGGACGGUUUUGCUGUCACCAGUACAUGGAUCCGCGUCGCAUUAGCUAGUUGGUAAGGUAACGGCUUACCAAGGCGACUCUGCGUAGCUGAACUGAGAGGAUGAUCCGCCACACUGGAACUGAGACACGGUCCAGACUCCUACGGGAGGCAGCAGUAGGGACUCUUCGGCAAUGGGCGAAAGCCUGACCAAGCAACGCCGCGUGAGUGAUGAAGGUCUUCGGAUCGUAAACCUCUGUAAUUCGGGAAGAAGGAAAGUGUGAUUAACUAUGCACGUCUUGACGUUACCAAAACAGCAAGCCACGGCUAACUUCGUG